rnacentral:rRNA from 1 species
CGAGCCUGCUUUUAUCAUCCUAUACACCUGUGAACUAUUUGCCUUCGGGCACCAAACAAACAUAAUGUAAUGAAUGUAAUCUACUAUAAUAAAUACAACUUUCAACAACGGAUCUCUUGGCUCUCACAUCGAUGAAGAACGCAGCGAAAUGCGAUAAGUAAUGUGAAUUGCAGAAUUCAGUGAAUCAUCGAAUCUUUGAACGCAAAUUGCGCCCUUUGGUAUUCCGAAGGGCAUGCCUGUUUGAGUGUCUUAUAAACCUCACCCCUAAUGUUUUAUUACAAUAGGUUGGUGCUUUGGGUGUUGCCAUUUACCUGGCUCGCCUUAAAUGUCUAAGUGGAAUGCGUAAUAAGUUCUCGCAACCCUCCACUCUAAUACAAUUUAUAUUCUGACCUCAAAUCAGGUAGGACUACCCGCUGAACUUAAGCAUAUCAAUAAGCGGAGG